rnacentral:rRNA from 1 species
GACGAACGCUGGCGGCGUGCCUAAUACAUGCAAGUUGAGCGAUGAAGCUUGGUGCUUGCACCAAUUUGAAGAGCAGCGAACGGGUGAGUAACGCGUGGGGAAUCUGCCUUUGAGCGGGGGACAACAUUUGGAAACGAAUGCUAAUACCGCAUAAUAACUUUAAACAUAAGUUUUAAGUUUGAAAGAUGCAAUUGCAUCACUCAAAGAUGAUCCCGCGUUGUAUUAGCUAGUUGGUGAGGUAAGGGCUCACCAAGGCGAUGAUACAUAGCCGACCUGAGAGGGUGAUCGGCCACAUUGGGACUGAGACACGGCCCAAACUCCUACGGGAGGCAGCAGGAGGGAAUCUUCGGCAAUGGACGAAAGUCUGACCGAGCAACGCCGCGGGAGGGAAGAAGGGUGUCGGAUCGUAAAACUCGGUUGGUAGAGAAGAACGUUGGUGAGAGUGGAAAGCUCAUCAAGUGACGGUAACUACACAGAAAGGGACGGCUAACUACGUG